rnacentral:rRNA from 1 species
CAGCCGCCGCGGGAAUACGGAGGGUGCAAGCGUUAAUCGGAAUUACUGGGCGUAAAGCGCACGCAGGCGGUCUGACAAGUCAGAUGUGAAAUCCCCGGGCUUAACCUGGGAACUGCAUUUGAAACUGUCAGGCUGGAGUCUUGUAGAGGGGGGUAGAAUUCCAGGUGUAGCGGUGAAAUGCGUAGAGAUCUGGAGGAAUACCGGUGGCGAAGGCGGCCCCCUGGACAAAGACUGACGCUCAGGUGCGAAAGCGUGGGGAGCAAACAGGAUUAGAUACCCGAGUAGUCCCUGUCUCUUAUAA